ensembl:miRNA
AGUCCCAGGGGCUCCAAAGUGCUGUUCGUGCAGGUAGCGUGAUUCCUGGCCUACUGCCGAGCUAGCACUUCCCGAGCCCUAGGGACA